rnacentral:lncRNA from 1 species
AUUGAUAUCUAUUUAUAGACUACAACAUGAAGCAAAGUCAUACAAAAUCCUACUAAAGUCACACAAAAUAUAUCUUUUGACUAUUGCUAAAUAUUUCUAUACUUCUAGAUGUGGUUGUUUAUUGACCUUGAUUAGUAUUUUCAACACUCCCCCUCAAGUUGAGUAACGGGAUUCCCGAUAUUCAACUUGCCAAGAACUUCUGAAAAAUUCUUGGAGUUCACAGCUUUGGUUAGGAUGUCUGCUAGUUGGUCUUCAGACCUUACGAAUGGGAGCGUCACAAUACCUCCUUCAAUUUUUUCUUUGAUAAAGUGUCUAUCAACUUCUACAUGUUUUGUUCUGUCGUGUUGAACAGGAUUUUCUGAUAUGCUGAUGGCUGCUUUAUUGUCACAAAACAUUUGACAUGUCUUUGUCGGUUGAAGACCCAAUUCAGUCAACAAUCUUCUUAGCCACAGGACUUCGGUUAGUCCACUCUUGAUUCCCCUGAACUCGGCUUCUGCACUAGAGAGUGCUACCACUUUCUGUUUCUUACUCCUCCAUGAGACAAGGUUGCCUCCAAUAAAGGUGAAGUAUCCUGCUGUUGACUUUCGAUCGACGGGAUUUCCAGCCCAGUCAGCAUCAGUGUAUGCCUGUAUUUCAAGGUGUCCAGAUUUCUUGAAUAACACUCCAUAAUCAAAAGUUCCUUUCAAAUAUUUUACAAUCCUGAUCGCAGCUUCCAUGUGGUUAGCUUGUGGUUGGUGCAUGAAUUGGCUUACCACUCCAACGGCAUAAGAGAUAUCAGGUCGCGUAUGAGAAAGAUAGAUGAGUUUUCCCACUAAGCGCUGAUAUUAUCCUCGAUCAGUCAGUUCUGCUCCUUCCUCAAUCUGUAGCCCGUGAUUCAUAGCAAUAGGCGUCUCUGUUGGCUUGCAAUCUAGCAUCCCUGUUUCUGCUAGAAGGUCUAGAGUAUACUUCUUUUGGUUGAUGAAGAUCCCCCUGUUUGACCUGAGAACUUCUAUUCCAAGGAAGUACUUAAGUCUUCCCAAGUCCUUCAUCUCAAACUCCUUGAACAGCCUAUCUUUCAACUUUUGGAUUUCUUCCAAGUCGUUUCCUGUUAUGAUCAUAUCAUCAACAUAAAUGACUAAACAGGAAAUAAGGUCACCUCUCUUCUUCAAAAAUAAGGUGUGAUCGGCAUUGCUUUGCUGGUACCCAAACUUUUUCAUGGCCGUGGUGAAUCUCCCAAACCAGGCUCUGGGGGAUUGUUUGAGCCCAUACAGUGUCUUCUUCAAUUUGCAUACUUCACCAACUCCGAAUUCUUCUGAGAAACCCUGGGGAACUUCCAUGUAAACCUCCAUUUCUUCUUCAAGUUCUCCAUGGAGGAAAGCAUUUGUAACAUCGAAUUGGUGGAGGUCCCAAUCCUUAUUAGCAGCAAUAGAGAGGAGAGCCCUGACGGUGUUCAUUUUUGCAACAGGAGAGAAAGUCUCCUCAUAGUCGAUCCCAUAUAUCUGUGUGUACCCUUUUGCGACCAAUCGAGCUUUGUAUCGCUCAAUUGACCCAUCUGGUUUUCUUUUGAUGGUGAAGACCCACUUGCAUCCCACAGUUUUCUUCCCUUUUGGCAAUCUGCACUUCUCCCAAGUAUGAUUCCGAUUUAACGCACUGAUCUCCUUCUUCAUGGCCUCUCUCCAGUGCUUAAUUUCAAGAGCCUGUUCAGCUGUCGUCGGGAUAUCUUCAUCAUACAGUGCUGCUUCAUAAGCAACAGCAGUUCUGGAUAGAUUUCCUUUAGCGAUCUUUCCAAUAGAAUACCGAGAGUUCUUCCCGACCUUCUCCGGAGUGUACCUUUUAGGAGGAAUCCCUCGAGUACUCCUAGGAGGCAGCACGUAUCCCCUGGUAUCUUUCUCUGCAAUAUUCUCCUGUUCUUCAUCAACAACUUGAUGAACAUAAUCAGGUACCUCAGAAGAUAAAGUUUGUUCUGAAUGCCUUACCUCGGAUAUCAAUGGUGGAGGAGAUAUAGAAUCAGGGUACCGAGGAGAUAUGGGCUCUGUAGUGGAUGAGACCUGCUCGGUGGCAAGGUUAACUGUUUCUGUUGGUCCUGCUUCCGUACUUGGCAUUGGUAACCAGCUUAACAAGUCUAUUUUAUUUCCUUGCUCUCUCUCCCCCUGACUGUUAAGUUGGUUAUCAUAGAAGAACUCAGUUUCUUGAAAAUCACAAUUCGUGGUGGUUAAGACUUGACGAGUUUUAGGAUUGUAACACCUAUACCCUUUCUGAUUAAUGCCAUAACCUACAAAGACACAUUUAAUGGCACACGGGGAAAGUUUAGUUCUUUCAUGUUUGGGGAUAUGGACAAAAACAGAGCACCCGAAAACCCUAGGUUGGAGAGUAAGAGCAAGAGGGACAGAUGCCAAGGUGGAGAGUUUUUCUAAAGGAGUCUGUAACUGGAGAGUUCUAGUGGGAAGACGGUUUAUAAGAUAGACAGAGGUAGCAACAGCUUCAGGCCAGAAGUGUGUGGGUACUUUAGAUUCAAUCAUCACAGCUCUAGUCAUUUCAAGGAGAAUUCUAUUUUUUCUUUCUGCCACACCAUUUUGUUCAGGGGUAUGGGGACAUGUAGUUUGAUGGAUUAUCCCCUUUUUUUGACAAAAUUCCUGCAUAGAUCUAUUGACAAAUUCCCCCCCAUUAUCGGUUCUAAGAGUCUGAAUGUUUUUCUCAAAUUGAGUUUGAAUCAUGGUUGAAAAAUGGGUAAAUUUUUCAAAAACUUCAGAUUUGUGUUUGAGGAAAUAAACCCAUGUCAUCCUUGUGCAAUCAUCAAUGAAAAGCAAAAAAUAUUUAAAACCCGGACCUCCGGCAAUAGGUGAAGGUCCCCAAACAUCAGAAUGAAUUAAAGAAAAAAUAGAUUUAACCACAGUAUUAUUAGGUUUAAAAGAGUGUCUGUGGCUUUUAGCCAAAAUACAAGUUUCACAAGACAGAGUUCCCCCCUUUAUUAAUUCAGGAAAUAAUAUCUUAAGAUAACUUGUGGAAGGAUGCCCUAACCGACGAUGCCAAAGCCAAGCGUCACGGUUAGCAGUUCCGUGAGCGAGCAUCACCUCGCCUUGUUGAGCUAUCUCAUCCACAUAGUAUAACCCAUUUCUCUCAGUGCCACGUCCAAUAAUCUCCCCCGUCCUGAUAUCCUGAAGAAGACAAAAUUGAGGAUUCAUUAGCAUAGUACAAUUUAGUUCUUUUGUAACAUGGCUAAUAGACAGGAGUUUAUGAGACAGAGAAGGGACAUAUAGACAGUUUGAGAGGUGCAUAGUAGGAGAGAUUUCUAUGGUUCCAGCCCCUUCAACACGGGUUAAGUCACCAUUUGCAGUUUGAACAUGUGUUCGGUAUGGUGCUGAUGCCUUCAUGAUAUCAGUUUUAUCAAAAGUCAUCGUAUCAGUGGCUCCACAAUCAAAAAUCCACCUUUUAUCCCUAUCCCUAUUAUC